rnacentral:lncRNA from 1 species
AUCCUCCACUCCACAAGAGGCUAGGAGCUGGGGGGAGAGAGGCAGUCCAGCCGCAGGGGCCACCCGAACAGUCUCUCCUCCUCACAGAAGCCUGGAGCUGGGCAUCCAAGAAGAAGCAGCCUCAUUUGUUUUCUGGUGUCAUCGUAGGUGGCCACCUAUGGCUUUUGGGAAUGUAAAAAGGGCAGCUCUCUGGCAUGUUCCUGACUGAGGAUCUCAUAACAUUUAACUUGAGGAACUUCCUCCUUUUCCAGCUUUGGGAGUCAAGCUUCUCACCUGGGGCGGGUGGGUUCUGCACCACCCUCCCACCCUCCUUCCUCCGUGUGGACGAUAGAGCCACAUCCAGCACCACGGACAGCUCCCGGGCGACCAAAAAGAAGAAUGUACUUCAUCUGGUUGGGCUGGAUUCCCUCUGAUAAGCCUUCCCAGUUGACUGAAAGAUGAGGCUAGGCUCUAGCAAGUUGAAGUCAAACCAGCUCCUUCAAGAAGCUUUGAGCAGAAUGAAGUGGGGAGGACCCAGCUUCCAGCCCAGGAAGCCCACUGUACCUGGAGCCAUCUGGGAUAAGACUUUGACCCAUGACUCCCAUAUCCACAGCCUGUCCAUCCUAGCCCAUCCCAGUUUAUCCUGUAUCAUUUGAGCUGGGAUUCCCACAUCCUCUGAGUUGGAAGUCCCAUCUCAAGUCUUCAAUAAAGACUCUUGAAUAUUGAAUCACAUUAA